rnacentral:rRNA from 1 species
UACGAAGGGGGCUAGCGUUGUUCGGAAUUACUGGGCGUAAAGCGCGCGUAGGCGGUGAUCUUUGUCAGAGGUGAAAUCCCGAGGCUCAACUUCGGAAUUGCCUUUGGAACGGGAUUGCUUGAGUCCGAGAGAGGAUGGCGGAAUUCCUAGUGUAGAGGUGAAAUUCGUAGAUAUUAGGAAGAACACCGGUGGCGAAGGCGGCCAUCUGGCUCGGUACUGACGCUCAGGCGCGAAAGCGUGGGGAGCAAACAGG